rnacentral:sRNA from 1 species
AUGACUGGUCCUGCAGAGGCUGUCUUCUAUGGAUCUGCUGUUCACUAGGUACCAGGGACCAAGCUGGAAAAGUUUACCGCAACUGGGAGCCUGAGAGAUUGAGUAUAAGGUCUAUCAAAUUGGUGUUUUGGUACCAGCACAACCCCUCUUGAUUCUUAAUUGCGCCUGUGGCCUGCUUACUAUGGGCAGAAUUACGGGGUUCUUUCAAACAAAUCUACUAUUUUAAAUCUUUUCUGCUUCUUUAGUUUGUCAGGUUUGAACCCUAUAUUGGUAGUAAAUCUCUCCUACUUUUUUUUUGUUCCUUCCUUUGGCAAUAAACCCUUGCUGUCUUAAGUGCAUAACUGCAUGUGCAUUUGAGUUUUUUGUCUACAGAUAUCCUGAUUUACUACAGAAUGAUUGAGCAUGUGUGUUAUUUGGCAAGAUGGUUGUUGCCUGCUCCCAGGAAAUAUCUGUAUAUCAAAUUGCAUGGGUAAUAGGUCGUGGUUAAUUGACUUGUGAAACUAUCAUUUAUGUGCCACAUCACAUAGAUGAUUUUUGCUCUGACUGACUUAAAGUAGCAGUUCUUCAUUCC